GAUGAACGCUAGCGGCAGGCCUAAUACAUGCAAGUCGAACGGCCCCGACACUUCGGUGUCGGGGUAGUGGCGCACGGGUGCGUAACGCGUACACAACAUACCCUUUACAGGGGGAUAGCGGCGGGAAACUGCCAGUAAUACCCCAUGUCCUUGCGAGGUGGCAUCAUUUUGCAAAGAAAGUUCAAGCGGUAAAGGAUUGGUGUGCGUCCGAUUAGCUAGUUGGCGGGGUAACGGCCCACCAAGGCGACGAUCGGUAGGGGGUGUGAGAGCAUGGCCCCCCACACGGGUACGUGAGACACGGACCCGACUCCUACGGGAGGCAGCAGUAAGGAA
rnacentral:rRNA from 1 species